rnacentral:rRNA from 1 species
UACGGAGGGAGCUAGCGUUGUUCGGAAUUACUGGGCGUAAAGCGCGCGUAGGCGGCUUUGUAAGUUAGAGGUGAAAGCCCGGGGCUCAACUCCGGAAUUGCCUUUAAGACUGCAUCGCUAGAAUUGUGGAGAGGUAAGUGGAAUUCCGAGUGUAGAGGUGAAAUUCGUAGAUAUUCGGAAGAACACCAGUGGCGAAGGCGACUUACUGGACACAUAUUGACGCUGAGGUGCGAAAGCGUGGGGAGCGAACAGG